GGGUGCGAUCAUAACCGCACUAAUGCACCGGAUGCCAUCAGAACUCCGCAGUUAAGCGCGCUUGGGCUAGAGCAGUACUAGGAUGGGUGACCCCCUGGGAAGUCCUCGUGUUGCACCCCU
rnacentral:rRNA from 1 species